rnacentral:rRNA from 1 species
GAUGAACGCUAGCGGCAGGCCUAAUACAUGCAAGUCGAACGAGAUUAAGAGGCUUGCUUCUUAUGAAAGUGGCGCACGGGUGCGUAACGCGUAUGCAACCUACCUUAAUCAGGGGGAUAGCCCGAAGAAAUUCGGAUUAAGACCGCAUAAAAACACAGGAUAGCAUUAUCCAAUGUUCAAAUAUUUAUAGGAUUAAGAUGGGCAUGCGUGUCAUUAGCUAGUUGGCGGGGUAACGGCCCACCAAGGCGACGAUGACUAGGGGAUCUGAGAGGAUGACCCCCCACACUGGUACUGAGACACGGACCAGACUCCUACGGGAGGCAGCAGUAAGGAAUAUGGGUCAAUGGAGGGAACUCUGAACCAGCCAUGUCGCGUGCAGGAAGACAGCCCUCUGGGUCGUAAACUGCUUUUAUUCGGGAAUAAACCUUUCUACGUGUAGGAAGCUGAAUGUACCGAAGGAAUAAGGAUCGGCUAACUCCGU